UAUGUAUUUAAUUAUUAAUUAAAGACAUUUUAAAAUUGGAAUAAUGCGUAUAUAGUCAGAGCCGGAUUGUAUAGGUUAAUUAUUUAUGAUUAAAUAACUAGAAAACCUGAAAAUGUCCAAACAAUUUUCUGAGUUGUCGAAACGUCAACGAAAUAGGCGAACUUUAUUACAAUUGGAACGAUUAAGGCAUCACAAUCGCAAUUAAAUAGUAAGCGUGCAUUCUUGCCAGACUAUCAACAAUAAACUCUACUUCGAAACAGAUCAACGAUUCGAAAAAUAUGAAAAAUAAUUAUCUCAUAUCACAACAGUGCCAUAUAUGUAUCUCCUAUUUGUAACUUUAUUUAAAUUUCUGUAGAAAAGCAACAAAAAUCUACGAUAAAAAUUCCCGGCAUCUCAUCUAUCAGCUCUGGGAAAGUCAAGUCAAUGUAUUAUCAUCAGGAGCGACACAAUGAACAUCACUUAUCUGAUAUACAAGGCGAAUGCAGAGAUUAUAUCCGUAAGGAAUUGAAAAGAUUGUUCAGACAAAUGUACGCUAUUGAAGCUUUAAAAGAGGGGAAUGCAGGAUGAAGUGAGAUUGUACAAGAUCUGUUACCUCCAUUGUCUCUAAUGACGCUGAAAGAGUUCUUGCAGUGCGAAAAUCAAUUGGAAGUGAAUAUCAAUAUGAGAAAAACAAUUUGAACAUAUGUUGAAUCGGAGGUUCGACGGAUAAGCAGUUUAUUAGAAAUAUUUUAUCACAAAUUAUCUCUAAUGAAGCCAAAUAUCAUGAACAAAUCAGAAGAGUGGUGUAAGAUUUAAAUCCACAUCCAUAAUCUGAACUAAUAAUCGAUAUUUCAAACUCGGUGAUGAAACGGUUACCAGGU